rnacentral:rRNA from 1 species
UACAGGGGGGGCAAGCGUUGUUCGGAAUUACUGGGCGUAAAGGGUCUGUAGGUGGCCAACUAAGUCAGACGUGAAAUCCCUCAGCUUAACUGGGGAACUGCGUCUGAUACUGGAUGGCUUGAGUGUGGGAGAGGAAUGCGGAAUUCCAGGUGUAGCGGUGAAAUGCGUAGAUAUCUGGAGGAACACCGAUGGCGAAGGCGGCAUUCUGGACCAUAACUGACACUGAGAGACGAAAGCCAGGGGAGCAAACGGG